rnacentral:rRNA from 1 species
GGCCAAGCAAAGCCCAAAAAUAGGCGUCUCAGUUCGGAUUGUAGUCUGCAACUCGACUACAUGAAGCUGGAAUCGCUAGUAAUCGCAGAUCAGAAUGCUGCGGUGAAUACGUUCCCGGGUCUUGUACACACCGCCCGUCACACCAUGGGAGUCGGGAAUGCCCGAAGUCAGUGACCCAACCGCAAGGGGGCGCUGCCGAAGGUGGGGUUGAUGAUUGGGGUGAAGUCGUAACAAGGUACC